UGGUAGUGUAUUGGACUACCAUGGCAGUCACGGGUAACGGGGAAUUAGGGUUCGAUUCCGGAGAGGGAGCCUGAGAAACGGCUACCACAUCUAAGGAAGGCAGCAGGCGCGUAAAUUACCCAAUCCCGACUCGGGGAGGUAGUGACAAGAAAUAACAACUCGAGAGGGUUACCUCUACGAGAUUGCAAUGAGAACAAUCUAAAUCACUUAACGAGGAACAAUUGGAGGGCAAGUCUGGUGCCAGCAGCCGCGGUAAUUCCAGCUCCAAUAGCGUGCGCAAAAGUUGUUGCAGUUAAAAAGCUCGUAGUUGAACUUCUGAUUGCGUGCAGGCUUGGCUUUAGUCGGCCUGUGGCGUAGUCAUCCGUCUGCAAACCUAUCUCUCCUUUAACCGGGUAGGAUAGGAGAGCAGACAUUUUACCUUGAAAAAAUUAGAGUGUUUCAGGCAGGUUCUCGCCGGAAUACAUUAGCAUGGAAUAAUGGAAUAGGACUUGUGUCCUUUGUUGGUUCAAGGAUACGAGUAAUGAUUAAUAGGAACAGUUGGGGGCAUUAGUAUUUAAUUGUCAGAGGUGAAAUUCUUGGAUUUAUUAAAGACUAACUUAUGCGAAAGCAUCUGCCAAGGAUGUUUUCAUUAAUCAAGAACGAAAGUUAGGGGAUCAAAGACGAUCAGA
rnacentral:rRNA from 1 species